AUGCCGGGAUCUCUGUGGCUGUGUCUCUGCGCACUGCCGCUGUUCCCAGGUUCAGUGGCAGGGAACUCGCUGACCCAGAUCCCGGCUUCCCUGCCAGCCACGGAAGGGGAGAGGGUGGAGAUCAGGUGUCAAUACAGCACCUCCUACACCAGCUACGCCCUGGACUGGUACCAGGAGCUGCCGGGGAAGCAACCCCUGUUCCUGCUGGGCAGAUACUCCGGUGGCUCGGAGCGCAAAUCCAGUUCGGUGGCACCUCGAUUCUCCUCCCAGCUGGACAAAGGAGCGAAAUCCUUCAAGCUAACCGUAGACGGGGCGCAGCGGGCUGACUCGGCGGUGUAUUUCUGCGCUCUCUGGGAUCCACCGUGA